rnacentral:rRNA from 1 species
UGCCCUACGGGAGGCAGCAGUGGGGAAUAUUGCACAAUGGGGGAAACCCUGAUGCAGCGACGCCGCGUGAAGGAUGAAGUAUUUCGGUAUGUAAACUUCUAUCAGCAGGGAAGAAAAUGACGGUACCUGACUAAGAAGCCUCGGCUAAAUACGUGCCAGCAGCCGCGGUAAUACGUAUGGGGCAAGCGUUAUCCGGAUUUACUGGGUGUAAAGGGAGCGCAGGCGGCCUGGCAAGCCUGAUGUGAAAUACCAGGGCCCAACCCCGGGGCUGCAUUGGG